CGCGGCCACAACGACGUGGUGACCGCGAUCGCGGCGCCGAUCGACAACACGGCGUUCAUCGUCUCCUCCUCCCGCGACAAGUCGGUGCUGGUCUGGGACCUCACGAACCCGGCCCCGUCCCCCGCCGACGGCACCGUCGCCACCGACUACGGCGUCCCCUUCCGCCGCCUCACCGGCCACGGCCACUUCGUCCAGGACGUCGUCAUCAGCUCCGACGGCCAGUUCGCGCUCUCCGGAUCCUGGGACGGCGAGCUCCGCCUCUGGGACCUCUCCACCGGCCUCACCACCCGCCGCUUCGUCGGUCACACCAAGGACGUGAUCUCCGUCGCCUUCUCCGUCGACAACCGCCAGAUCGUAUCCGCGUCCC
rnacentral:lncRNA from 1 species